AGUAAUACAUAAGUAACCUGCCCUAGACAGGGGGAUAACUAUUGGAAACGAUAGCUAAGACCGCAUAGGUACGGACACUGCAUGGUGACCGUAUUAAAAGUGCCUCAAAGCACUGGUAGAGGAUGGACUUAUGGCGCAUUAGCUGGUUGGCGGGGUAACGGCCCACCAAGGCGACGAUGCGUAGCCGACCCGAGAGGGUGACCGGCCACACUGGGACUGAGACACGGCCCAG
rnacentral:rRNA from 1 species